AUGUGAAAUGAAUAUACAUAUGCUAGAAAAAGUGAGCAUAUAAAAGACGAUUAGCAUGGCCCCUGCGCAAGGAUGACACGCAAAAUCGUUAAGCGUUCCAUAUUUAC
ensembl:snRNA U6 U6 spliceosomal RNA